GAAAAGCUGAUUUCAGGAAUGUUAGGUUUCUGGCAAACUUUAUAACUGAUGCCGGGAUCAUUAUCAAGAGGAGCAAGACAGGUAUUAGUGCCAAGGCACAGAGGAAAGUUGCGCGCGAGAUCAAAACUGCACGAGCAUUUGGCUUAAUGCCCUUCACAACAAUGGGAACAAAAUCAUUUAUUUUUGGCAGAACCAUGGAAAAUCUUGAUAAGGACU
rnacentral:misc_RNA from 1 species